rnacentral:rRNA from 1 species
CRACCUGAGUKCAGGUGAGGCUACCCGCUGAACUUAAGCAUAUCAGUAAGCGGAGGAA